rnacentral:rRNA from 1 species
GCUUGUCUCAAAGAUUAAGCCAUGCAUGUCUAAGUAUAAGCCUUUAUAUGGUGAGACUGCGAAUGGCUCAUUAAAUCAGAAACUGUUUAUUUGAUAGUGCCUACUACAUGGAUACCUGUAGUAAUUCUAGAGCUAAUACAUGCAUCAAUCCUCUAUUUGAGGUGUAUUUAUUAGAUUGUAACCAAAGCGGGGUAACCCGGUAUAUGGUGAUUCAUAAUAACUUUCGGAUCGAUUUUAAUCGAUGCAUCAUUCAAGUUUCUGCCCUAUCAGCUUUGGAUGGUAGGGUAUUGGCCUACCAUGGCUUUAACGGGUAACGGAGAAUUAGGGUUCGAUUCCGGAGAGGGAGCCUGAGAAAUGGCUACCACAUCCAAGGAAGGCAGCAGG